rnacentral:rRNA from 1 species
GAUGAACGCUGGCGGCGUGCCUAAUACAUGCAAGUCGAGCGAACAGACGAGGAUCUUGCUCCUCUGACGUUAGCGGCGGACGGGAGAGUAACACGUGGAUAACCUACCUAUAAGACUGGGAUAACUUCGGGAAACCGGAGCUAAUACCGGAUAAUAUAUUGAACCGCAUGGUUCAAUAGUGAAAGACGGUUUUGCUGUCACUUAUGGAUGGAUCCGCGCCGCAUUAGCUAGUUGGUAAGGUAACGGCUUACCAAGGCAACGAUGCGUAGCCGACCUGAGAGGGUGAUCGGCCACACUGGAACUGAGACACGGUCCAGACUCCUACGGGAGGCAGCAGUAGGGAAUCUUCCGCGAUGGGCGAAAGCCUGACGGAGCAACGCCGCGUGAGUGAUGAAGGUCUUCGGAUCGUAAAGCUCUGUUAUUAGGGAAGAACAAAUGUGUAAGUAACUAUGCACGUCUUGACGGUACCUAAUCAGAAAGCCACGGCUAACUACGUG